GGGCGUUUAGCUCAGCUGGCUAGAGCAUUCCGCUGACGUCGGAAAGGUCAUAGGUUCGAAUCCUAUAACGCCCACCA
rnacentral:tRNA from 1 species